CGCUGAGCCUGCGCGUCCGGAGCCUGUGCCCCGCAACGGGAGAGGCCACGACAGUGAGAGGCCCGCGUACCGAAAAAAAAAAAACAAAAAAAAAAACCUCUUGGCAAUAAAGAGGGCCUAUUAUGACCUAUUUAUCAAGUGUUUCAGAAUCACUUGCACGAAUAUUUUGUCCUAAAUUCUGUAUAAUUAGAAGAUAUAAACCCUACUCUGGGGUUAUUUUUGUGCACCAACAUAACCUAAAUUAGAACUCUCUCCAUGAAGGCUUUUAAAAAAGAAAUCAUCGGGACAAAAAACAUGAAGGAAUUGACUUUGUCUUCACUGUUCUCAAAUGCUUGAAAAUACUGUUUCUGCCGAAGAAACCUGGAAACCUUGUUGACUGAUUUGCAGACCCUUUCCCUUCACCAAGAGCAGAAGGUGCAACGAAUUGGAGAAGCCAUAGUCCUUGGGUCAUGGUGUGCAGCCUUCACUGGUCCUGCAGGCGCCUCUUUUCUGUUUAGUUACUUAUUUUUUU